CUUCAAAAGACUCGCAUGGAAAACGGGAUGUAACCGUGAUGUCUCAGGUAAAGCCAAACGAACCGAGGCUCUCAAUACCAAUUUGUGAUGAACGAGAUAAUGAAGAAGAGAAAAGAAAGAGAUUUCAGAGGAGAAGCAGAAAAGGUUUAAGAAAUUCAGAAUUCAUUUCAAUGAAAUGAUGCAUAAUCCUUCCUUUUCCAGGCUUCUCUGGUGGACUUCUCUGUUGGGCUCAAGGCUGCUGGGUCUUCAAACAUUAAUUGGGUUUAAUGAACCCGUGCUCCUCACGUGACCUUCACUUCAUCAGGUAACAAUCCCAAUUCCUUCAGCAAUCCCUAACCCUCGUUUA